UGGCAGUAUCCAAGGGGAUUUGACAAAGCUAGGUUCAAUGAUUUCAAAUUGUUGACCAUUAUAACAGGUUCGGCAGUGUUCCAAAUUGAUAUGGACAGUAAACUGAACAAUUGUUUUGGUAUUUUGUAAGCACGAUCGACAAUUUGGAAGUGAUCAUUGAGUGGGUAGGUUUGUGUGUGGGUGGGGUUAAUUCACAGUACAUAAGCCGGAGAACAUUAAGAUGAAAAUAAUGACAAAUAUUUAAUGUGAUUCGCAAUGUACAUAGAGGUGGAUGAAAUUGAGCAACCUUGCUUAUUGUAGGCAACAUUAAUGAGGACCUUUGACUGUCUGUGUGGGAGUGUAAAUUUUGUUGUUUGUCGGUUACUUGUAUUUCAAGGAAACACGGAGAGCUAAGAUGAACAGCAUUGUGGUAACUUACUGCUAGGGUUUCUCUCUUAAAACACCAUCUAGUCAAUCUAAAUUUACCUUACGAUAGUCUAAACCAUGAAUAAUAGUGAUGUUAAAAUACAAAGCCAGCAUUUCACCCACAGAGUGCAAUAGUGGCAGAGCUGCAGACGACCCCCACACGGAAGAGCAACAACAAUCAGUCAGUCAGUCAGUCAGUCAGUCAGUCAGUCAGUCAGUCCCACAGUGCUGGCAGUGGUAUUCCGAAGCAGCGCAUGUGUGACGGCAUCAAUGAUUGCUGCAGUAACGGAGAGGAUGAGUUUGUGCAGCUGUGUGGCAUUGAGGAGUGCCGGGAGAAGAAUGUCGGGUGUGUGUGAGCCUGUUUACAUCAACACUCGAGAGUCAUACUACUGCCAGUGCCGGCCAUGCAGGGUACAGACACGUGUCAGAAAGUUCAAGUGUGAAGACGUUGACGAGUGCGUGGAGUCGCCCAGAUCCUCUCCUGUGGACC